CAGGAGACACAGAAUCCAAAGCAGGCUCCAGGCUCAGAGCCAUCAGCACAGAGCCCGACGCGGGGCUUGAACUGCCGAACCGUGAGAUCAUGACCUGAGCCGAAGUCGGACGCUUAGCAUCCUGACCCCGGGCACCCAGCAGAGCCCUGCUCUUCAUCACCUACUCUUUAUCGGUCUGCUGGGGCUGUGACAUGUUGCAUUAGGCCAUUGAGAUGCAGGGGUUGUUACCGCAGCUAGAGGUUAGCCUAUCCUGACAUAUACAGAAUCUUACAGAACCUCUACCUAACGUAUACCCCUCCAUACGUUCAUACAGGAUUUUGCACGUAUUUGAGUCUUUCUGGGUCCCAGCUCCCCUUCAGCUGGUCCACGUGUCCACGUGGCCCAAGGUGAGGACCUCAACUGCCUUCAGGAAUAACACCCAGCAGAACGUGGUGGUCAAACAGUCCUGGGAACAACUUCCCGGCUUCAGGGCCUCCCUGCAGCAGAGAGGUUUUGAAGGCAACUCCCUACUUAAGGUGGCUUAGUGGCAGCCUAGGGUCUCAGGGCAGAGGUGUCCCAAGAAGGUAUCACUAAUCAUACAGGCGCUGUCCUUCAUGCCACCGAUGCCAAAGUGCUUGCUCUCACCCCCGUGGCACGACCAGCAGCUCUGAUGGAUCACAGGUGACAGACCGGUCAGCAGCUCCUCCCGGCUGAGCCUCUGGGACUUUGCUCAGGGCCCCCGUGCCUGCGGCCCUGCCCUCCUGCCCUGGAGCAGACCCGCUCCUUCUGUCCUGCCCCCCCUGUUAAGUUGAGCGCCCCCUGGAGGUCGGGCUGUGUGGCAACCCUCGCCUUUCUCCUCGCAGCGGCUGCAGGGUUGGGGGGCGGCAGGUGUCACUUGUUUUGCACAAGGUUGUUGAUUCCAGGGGUCAAGGACCAUCGUCAUGGCGUGCUAGAAAAGUAAAUAUUCUCAGCUUGGGCGAAGGUUAUAUUAAUUAAAAAUAACAUAUUAUUGUUACUAUAUUGAAUGUCUGUUCUGUUCUGGGCCCAUCUGUUAUUUCAUUAAAUCCUUCCCCAUAAUCCUAUCAGGUGAGUUUUUCAUAGCCCAUGUUCCAGGUGGGGAGGUGGAGGCGUCGAAAGGCCAGACCCGGGGUCCACAGCUGCACGAGGUGGUUUACGGGCUCAACCAAGGUCAAUCCAAAGUAAUGGGAGCAGACCUUUUCUAGGCCCCCAACGUGUGCUAGGGACCACGUCUCUCAAGUGCUUUUGAUGAAUUAUUCCAUUUAAUUCUGAUGAUUUCCUUACAGAGUGGGGACUAUCGUUAUUCCCAUUCACAGGUGAGAACACCACGGCUCAGCGAGGCUAACUUACUCGUUUCCCCAAGGUUUCAUGGUUAAGAGAGGAGGUGCCCGGAUUCAAAUUGCAGUCACUCUUUACAGCCUGUGCCGUCCCUCACUGGGCACCCGGCAAUGCCUCCUUCUACCGCGUGGCAAGCGCAGUGAGGACCAGGUGUGAUGGGGUGAUGGCGACGGCCUAGAUUAGAUCAAGAUCAGAGUCCUGGCACUAGCACCGAUUGUCAGCGUGACCUCGGUUUAAGCAAGAUCUGGGACUUUGCCGUCUGUCUACCCUGCCGGCAGAGUGAGGACAGGAGCGCUUGCCUGACGGGGUUUUCCUGGCAAGGACUGAAUUAGUGACGCAUGUUAAGUACGUGGUUAAGGCCUCAUGCUCGGUAGCUAACGCUCAACGUAAUUUGCUUCCCAUCAUCCAUAGGAGCAAGGCUCGGAUGAGCAAGAUUAUUUGUAUUUCUAGACGAUUCUUUUACAAGCCGACCGUCUUCCAAUUUAUAGGGUUUGCACGUCUGAACUGUUUCAUCACGUUUGCAUAAAGGGAGUCAAACUACUCUCUCAGAUCUCUUCUCACCCCCUACCCUCAGAUCUAGCCUUACUGUCUGCAGAAAUGAUGUCUCUCCCUGACGCAGGCCGUCAAAAUGAUAGGGUACAACUGGAAAGAAUAUCCGAGAAUGGCUGGCAGGGGUGAGGAGGGUGGGGGCAAGAUCGGCAGCAGGCGUAAGUGGGGCAGGCGGAUUGGCUGUUCCGAUCCUGGUUUUCCAGACGCUCUGCGUCACGGGAGGGCUGUGCUUUGAUGCUGGAAGGGGUCUGACGCAGGGGGUUUGGCAGCUGCAUUUCAUGGGUGGGGAGACUGAGGCCCAGAAAGGGGCAGUGACUCGCCUGAGGUCACACAGCCAGUUAGUGAGGAAGCCAGUGACAGGCGCCAGCCGGCUCCUCCUUCCUGCUUCUGCGUUCUUUCUAGUUCAGCUGGGAGUGACCUUCGGGACCCUAGAGAGGAUUUCACCCUACCUGGGAAGAGGUGGACCACUGCCAUCUGGCCGGAGCCUUGCUCCCCCCCUGCAUUCCCAGAGAGGCGAUGUGCCGUUGCCCCAAAACCUCUCUCUGAAAACAGUGGCAGUUCAGAACCAAUCUACAAAAACAGUAAGAGCUAUCAUUUCUGAGGGUUGAAUUCCAGACACUUAAUUUAUAGUUUUCUAACCUUUUGAGGUAGGUGUUACUAUGAUUCUCAUUUUGCAGAGGAGGAAACUGAGGCUUAAGUGUUAAGUGGCCUCCCCCAAGUCACCCAGCUAGCAAGUCAGAGGUAGGGUUCGAACCACGGUUCAUUUUGACUUAUGCUCUUUUCCUGUGGCAGCACCCCACCCCCCUAUUAGACUCUGGCUUACGCUAGAAGUCUCCAGAAGGUGACACGGGGAGAGAUGGAUCGCUCACUUGGGGUCCAGCACUAGCCAAGUUUGGUAGGCGCCCGCCGGGAGGUGUGCCGGACCCUCACCCUGCGCCAUGAUGUUCUGUCCCCUUCCUGUCCCCCUCCCACCUGUGUCUCCUGCCGAGGACAGAUCGGUGGCUAGGGACCCGGGCUCCUCUUUCACACACUCAUAGCCUCUAGUAACUAAGCCUCUAGUAACUAAGUACAUUUUCUGUUAGGAUUAACAGAAAAUGUACCUAACAGAAAAUGCAAAGCACAGUGGCUUAAGUGCAUAAAGGUGUCCCUCUGAUGUGCAAGAGGUCCUGGUAUGGUAGCUUCACGAUCAUCUGGGGCUCAGGCUGUGUCCCUCCGCCUGCCCCGCCAUUCCCCACAUUUGGCUCCUGUCCUCAGUGUUGCAGAAUGCCCGCUGCAGCUCCAGCCAUCGUGUCCACAUUCCAGGGAGCAGGAAGGAGGAAGAGGGCAAAGCGAAAGCGUCUUUCUCUACUUGUCUCUUCUCCCUUCCAGAGAACCUUUCCAGAAUUCCUUUCCUAGAAGCUUCUCUUGCUUCACUGGCCGGAACACAGUCGUGUGGCCACACCAGGCUGUGGGACAGGACGGGAAGCAGGUUCCGUAACUGGGCGCAUCACUGCCUCAAGACCGUGGACGCUUGUGAGUGAGGCAGAAUGGGUGCCGGGGAACCGGACUCUGCCACAGCACAACUGGGUCACCUCGGCCACUUGCCAAAGGGCGGAUGGCGGAGAGAGGUGGUGUUUCGAGUGAGAGAAAACUCAAGCCACCUUUGGCGAGAAUCUUAGAUGCGCUCUGAGAUAACUGGAAAUGCCACAGACCUAGGGUUGCAACCCCUGUGCUUUCUGGGGCUGUUUGUUCUGGGGACGGCCACCAUGAUGGAAUCAACGGUACUUCGCACCUGUCAGCGGCUUGUCCCACACGGUCCCUUUUCAGAGCGUGGAUAAGUUGUAUUUCUCUGGAUGUCUGCUCCUCGUGACACAUUUAUCCUGUGGGUCUCCCGAGGUGGAUUGGAGGAAUGGGUUUCUUGGUCUGCAGGGUGCUGACGAUCAGCGGGCUCUGGAAACGAACACAGAUGUCACUGUGCCAGCUCUGUCUAUGCACCAGGGACUAUAUGCGUGGCAGGUCCCACCAUCCUGACAACAGACCUACAGCCGGGGGGACUCUGAUUCCAUUUUACAGAUGCAACGUGAAGGCUCAGAGAGGCUAAGCGGCUUGCCCGAGAUCACACAGCUGGUGCUAUGGACUGAGUGUUUAUGUCCCCCCGACCGCCCAACGCCGGCCCAAAUGUAUAUGCUGCAGCCCUAAUCCCCAGGGUGGUGGUGUUUGCGGGGUGGGCAUUUCAGGGGGUAAUUAGGUUUGGAUGCGGCCGUGAGGGUAGAGCUCCCAUGAUGGGACUGGCGCCCUCAUGAAGGGGCGAAAGGCGCCGAGCUUUCUCUCCCGCUCUGCCAUCAGAGGACGCGGUGAGAAGGCAGCCGUCGACAAUCCAGGAAGAGAGGCUUCACCAGAAACCAGCCGUGUUGGCGCCCUGACCUCAGACUUCAGCCUCCAGAACCGCGAGGAACUGAUGUCUGCUGUUUAAGCCACCAGGCUGUGAUGUUUCCGUUAUGGUGGCCGAGCUAAGACAGCUGGUAACUACCGAGAGCCCAAGGUUGUUCUUUCUCCCGCCCUCUGCCCCGACACUGGGCGCAUUCCCCAAACUCACCCUCACUCCCCUUGUGGGUCCUGGCUCCUAUGACCGCGGGGACAUCACAGAGACCUCCGGACACGGGCUGUGGCCUAGAGGUCCUUCUUGUCUCCCCUCCUCUUUUCUCCUCCGCUCCUGUCGUCUUAGAAAGACCCCUGUGGGAGUCCAGCCCCAUCACCUGGCCCCCAUGUGGGCCCGGGGUCAGUCACGUCUCCUUUCUGGGCCCCACGUGGCCCCGGCCCGGGGCCCGGCCCCCUUCCCCAAUCUGCACUCACACGCAGCCCUGUGGAAAUGGUGGCGCUCCCCACAUUAGGACCCACGUGUCUGCUGGCUGGGACCAAGGGUCAUAAAUAGGAAUAAAACUUAGGCUGUCCUUGUCCCCAUCUCGGUGAGUGAAGCCCCCGAAUCUGAGGACAAAACCAGAAGCCCUCUUCUUUGAGCCCCAAGGGACAGGAAGGGCUGCGUGUGCGGCUGAGGCCCUGCUCUCCCCCCCCCCACCUCCCCGACCCCCCGGGUGUCACAGGCUUCCAUAUACAUAAUCUAAAUAUAUGCUUUGGAAAUUGAAAACGUUCACAUAUAGAAUGCGGCUGUGCGGAGGGAAUGCUCUCUUGGAACAUGUCUCUUUAAAGACGGAAUGUGCCCAAGUGUUUUCCUGCCCUUAAGGAGACACUUGAACGUGGCAGCAGAUGUAAAAUGGAAAUUGAAGUGUCUCUCCCAGGCCACCGUACAUGGAGAAAACAGCGCAAUCUAUUCUAAGCGCUCAUUAAUAGCUGGUCUCUGAGGGCCCCGGCAGCAGUCAGAGGAUUUUACUCAUUAAAAAGGUGACGAGGUA